rnacentral:antisense_RNA from 1 species
GCCGCGGUAUGAGGGAGCGGGAGUCUUCCUUAGCUUCUCCGCCAUGGGUGUCGCUUCGUAGCCGGGCUGCUCCGGGAAAGGCCUCGUACAGCACGCAUUCACCAGAAUCCUGUCAGCUUUCCUCUUCUCAUCCAGAUGCCUGGCCAGGAUCCUCGAUAAGACCGUGACCCCCAACUUGGACACCCCAUAAGGAAAACUAGACAAUCCACCAGCCCAGGAGGGGACAAGCAGGAUUAAUCCUCCUCCUCGUCAUCUCUGGCUCCAGCCCCACCCUGGCCCUUGCUGGCAUUCUUCCUCUUCACGUGGCUGGGUUUGGCCACCCCAAUAGGGAAGCAGAGGGAGAAGUCGAUGUGCUUCUGGGAAUCCAGGCGGAUAGUGAAGAACAGGAUAUUUACCACCUGCUCACGGACACGGAUAUGACACUGUUGGAUCAGCACAUGAGCGUGGCAGAUGGACUUAGCCAAGCCAAGCUUGAAGACCUGGGUCUGUAGGCAUCUCUAAGAAAUCAUUGAUCUUCAGGCCCAGGACGUAAUCCAGCUUCAUCUUGCCCUCACCCAGCACCCCAGUGCGGACCAGCCACUGCAGCAGGGCAAUGCCUUCGAACAGACGCCAUGGGUCCUUCUCAUCAAGCGUCAGCAGCUCCUGGGCGGCCUUAUGGAUCUUGACCAGGGUAAAUUUGACCCUCCAGACCUCACAUUUGUUCUGGAGCCCAUACUCACCGAUCAGCUUUAGCUUUUGGUCGAGAUGAGGUUUCUCAAAGGGUCUCUGCGGGGUCACAUAAGUUUGGCGACAAACCCAGCUCUGGGCCGCUGGCAUGUUGGCUCCACUUGCCCGUCUAUGCCUAAGCACAGGCCCUGGUCACUGAGAAAGAGCUCAAAUUUUUUAUAUAUUUCAUCUAAGGUGUUGAUUCUAUUGAUACCCUUAUCCUUUUAACAUGCCCUUAUCCUUUUAAUGUUGGUAAUGAUGCUACCUGUCAUUUCUGAGACUGGUUUGUGUCUUUCGUGUUUUUUUCUGAUCUGUCUGGCUAGAGGUUUACCAAUUGAUUUGAUUUUCCUCAAACUUCUGGUUACAAUGAUUCUCUCUCUCUCUCUUUUCCUGAUUAUAUUAAUUUCUGUUCUGAUCUUUGUUUCCUUUCUUCUGCUUACUGGAUUUUAUUUGCUCUUUUUCUGGUUUCUUACUGUAAAGGCAGAAGUCAUUGAUUUGCAUUGAUUUGAGACUUCUUUUCUAAUGUAGGCAGUAAGCGGUGUAAAUUCCCUUUUAGUAUGACUUUAGUGGCAUCUCACAUUGAUAUGUUUUCAAUUUCAUUCAGUUUAUUUUUAUUUAUUUUUUUAAUUAUUUAUUUAUUUAUUUUGAGUUGUGUAGCCCUUUAUUAGCAACUAAAAUAGAAGGUAUCUGUUGUACAACAUGGGUAGUAAUUGACUAUAACUGGAGAUUUAUUAUAUUCUAAUACAGAUCAUUUAUAAAUGCAAUUUCUUUAUUAAAAAGCUUCCACCUU